AUCUAACAAUAAGCGGAGGAAAAGAAACUAACAAGGAUUCCCCUAGUAACGGCGAGUGAAGCGGGAAAAGCUCAAAUUUGUAAUCUGGCGCCUUGGGCGUCCGAGUUGUAAUCUCGAGAAGUAUUUUCCGCGCUGGACCGCACAUAAGUCUGUUGGAAUACAGCGUCAUAGUGGUGAGAACCCCGUAUAGGGUGCGGAUGUCCAGUGCUUUGUGAUAUACUUUCGAAGAGUCGAGUUGUUUGGGAAUGCAGCUCAAAUGGGGUGGUAAAUUCCAUCUAAAGCUAAAUAUUGGCGAGAGACCGAUAGCGAACAAGUACCGUGAGGGAAAGAUGAAAAGCACUUUGGAAAGAGAGUUAACAGUACGUGAAAUUGUUGGAAGGGAAACGCUUGAAGUCAGACUUGCAUUUUGGAGUUCAGCCGCAAGGUGUAUUCUUCAAUUCGCAGGCCAGCAUCAGUUUUUGGGGGUGGAAAAGCGCGGUUGGAAGGUAGCAGUUUCGGCUGUGUUAUAGCUGGCCGCUGGAUUCACUUUUGGGGACUGAGGAACGCAGUACGCUUUUUGCAAGACCUUCGGGUCUUUCGUACUUAGGAUGCUGGUGGAAUGGCUUUAAACGACCCGUCUUGAAACACGGACCAAGGAGUCUAACAUGCUUGCGAGUGUUUGGGUGUUAAACCCGGACGCGUAAUGAAAGUGAAUGGAGGUGGGAUCCGCAAGGUGCACCAUCGACCGAUCUGGAUUUUCUAAGAUGGAUUUGAGUAAGAGCAAUUAUGUUGGGACCCGAAAGAUGGUGAACUAUGCCUGAAUAGGGUGAAGCCAGAGGAAACUCUGGUGGAGGCUCGUAGCGGUUCUGACGUGCAAAUCGAUCGUCAAAUUUGGGUAUAGGGGCGAAAGACUAAUCGAACCAUCUAGUAACUGGUUCCUGCCGAAG
rnacentral:rRNA from 1 species